CUAAACGGCCCAAGUUCAAUAACCGAAAGCCGCCACCGCAGUACUUUGUUGUUUAGCCAACCUACCUUCCUCACUGAAAGAUGCUAUGGCAAUCCAACUAUUUAUAUCUGAAGAUCUCAAUGACUCAAUCUGUGUACAUCUUUGACCACUAACUAGGUAGUGGACAGAAGGAGAGAAAGACAGGGGGGAGACAAAGGAAAUGGCAGCUAUUUCCUUGUGUGGUGUUAAUUUGAGAAUCGGAGGGAAGUCGCAACAGCAGCCGCCUCCUUAUGCUUCCGCGUGUCCGCCUUCUGCUUCUUCCUCAUCGAAGUCAAAUAAGCUCUUCUCCUCCUCCUCUCAAUUGUCAUUUGCUUCUAGUAAUUCUUUUAUUUCUUUUCGUUCCAAUCAAACCCUAGUCUCUCCUCGUCUUGCGAAAAUCCCAAAUCCAGCGCUGGUUGUAGCAUCAGCUAAGCCAGAACCACUGAAGAUAAUGAUAUCAGGAGCUCCUGCUUCGGGUAAAGGUACUCAAUGUGAGAUCAUCACGAAGAAAUAUGGUUUGGUGCAUGUUGCUGCUGGAGAUCUAUUGAGAGCUGAAAUUGCAUCAGGGACUGAAAAUGGGAAGCAAGCAAAGGAAUAUAUGGAGAAAGGUCAGCUGGUCCCAAAUGAAAUAGUUGUCAUGAUGGUGAAGGAGCGUCUGUCGAAGCCAGAUGCUCAAGAAAAGGGUUGGCUUUUGGAUGGAUACCCUAGGAGUGCGUCACAAGCAAUUGCUUUUGGGGAAGUGGAAUUCAAGCCUGAUCUUUUUAUUGUCCUAGAAGUCCCUGAAGAGAUUCUUGUUGAGAGGGUGAUUGGACGUAGAUUAGACCCUGUUACUGGGAGGAUAUACCACUUGAAAUAUUCUCCUCCUGAGACUGAAGAAAUUGCUGUGAGACUUACCCACCGCUUUGACGAUACUGAAGAGAAGGUGAAGUUGCGAUUGCGUACACAUAAUCAAAAUGUGGAGGCGGUACUUUCAAUGUAUGAAGAUGUUACAUUAAAGGUUGAUGGAAGUGCUUCGAAAGAGGAAGUAUUUGCCCAAAUCGACAGUGCUCUUACAAAGUUACUUGAGGAUAGGAAGGCAACUUCAGGAUCUCUGGCUGCAUAGUCAUGGAGGUAUAGUAGGAAGAUGGGAGAAAUUGCAUGGUUGUGAAUUCCCUGUAUGGAGUGGUGAUGGCAGCGAAGACAAGUAGACAAGUGGUCCAUUGAUGGCCUAUCAUGUUGCAGGUAAGGUUUCAUUGAUGAAAAUUAUGGUUUCUCUAUUUUUCUGAAGUAGAUGUUCAUAUUUAUAAUUGUAGGAUGGUAAGUGAAAUUUAGCCAAUUGCUUUUUGAACAAGCAAGACACUUCAAAAACCCGAGUCUGAACUCCACCCCAAACCCCUAUGCAACCAUUUCUACCACCUGGAUAUUGUCCUUUUUGUUCAGUGUUGGAAUUGAGACGAUGAGAUUUUAUAUUUA